UACGAAGGUCCCGAGCGUUGUUCGGAAUCACUGGGCGUAAAGGGAGCGUAGGCGGCGCGGUAAGUCAGAUGUGAAAUCCCGGGGCUCAACCCCGGAACUGCAUCCGAUACUGCCGUGCUUAGAGGGUUGGAGAGGUAGCUGGAAUUCUUGGUGUAGCAGUGAAAUGCGUAGAUAUCAAGAGGAACACUCGUGGCGAAAGCGAGCUACUGGACAACACCUGACGCUGAGGCUCGAAGGCCAGGGUAGCGAAAGGG
rnacentral:rRNA from 1 species